rnacentral:rRNA from 1 species
CCUAUCAGCUUGUUGGUGAGGUAACGGCUCACCAAGGCAUCGAUGGGUAGCUGGUCUGAGAGGACGAUCAGCCACACUGGGACUGAGACACGGCCCAGACUCCUACGGGAGGCAGCAGUAGGGAAUCUUGCGCAAUGGGCGAAAGCCUGACGCAGCAACGCCGCGUGGGGGAUGAAUGCCUUCGGGUUGUAAACCCCUUUCAGCAGGGACGAAAAUGACGGUACCUGCAGAAGAAGCUCCGGCCAACUACGUGCCAGCAGCCGCGGUAAUACGUAGGGAGCGAGCGUUGUCCGGAAUUAUUGGGCGUAAAGAGCUCGUAGGCGGUUCAGUAAGUCGGGUGUGAAAACUCAAGGCUCAACCUUGAGACGCCACUCGAUACUGCUGUGACUUGAGUCCGGUAGAGGAGUGUGGAAUUCCUGGUGUAGCGGUGAAAUGCGCAGAUAUCAGGAGGAACACCAGCGGCGAAGGCGGCACUCUGGGCCGGUACUGACGCUGAGGAGCGAAAGCAUGGGGAGCAAACAGGAUUAGAUACCCUGGUAGUCCAUGCCGUAAACGUUGGGCACUAGGUAUGGGAUCAUAUCAACGGAUUCCGUGCCGUAGCUAACGCAUUAAGUGCCCCGCCUGGGGAGUACGG